UUUUAACUUUCUGUAGGAAGAGAGAAGAAGCAAAAUCUUAUGCCUCCAAUUUGUCAAGACUUUUACUUAUUUUUCAUCAAAGCUGUCAUUAAAUUUUUUGGACCUAGCCAGGUGUGGUGGUGCACACUUGUAAUUCUAGCUACUGAGGAGCCUGAGGCAGGAGGAUUACAAGUUCAAAGGCAACCUCAGCAAGACUUUGUCUCAAAAAUAAAAAGGGCUGGGGAUGUAGCUUAGUUUGAGAGCCCUUACCAAGCAUGUACAAAGCCCUGGGUUCAGUCUCUAGGUCUGGAAGAAGAAAUAGUUCAUUUCAAAUUCUUUUGUAACUCUCUAUGACAGUCUUUCUCAUUAUGAAUAUAAAAAUCUCAAAGAUUAUUUUUCAUCAUAAGAAGUGCUGGUGCUGCCUUAGGUGGGUGCAUGAAGAAUGUUAAAUAUAUAGGUCUUGAGUGCUUUUGCAAAUUUCAUUCAUUCAAUGUUGAAUAUCCAUGAAGGUUACAAAAUUAACUUCUGCUUUUAUCUACUAUCCCAAGGCCAAGAAGCCAAGCCUAAGAAACUCACCAGAUUUCACCUGUAGUACCUAAAUUUAUGUGAGUUCCUUUUGUCUUGAAGGCCCCCAAAUUUACUAAGGUUCCUAGACUGACAAUAAGUGACUUCCUUACCAUCUGGAGCCUAUAACUUAGGUAUGAGGCCAGUCUUACUAGGUGGACUUUGUAGUUAUUGGAUCUAUAAGCACAAAAUGACGGUGCAGACCUCAACAGAUUCAGGGAAGCUGUUUAUUGUUCUUUGUGGACUUGGGCACCUAGGGUACAAUUAGGGUGGUUUCGUCAUUGGAAAUUGUGGAUUUGCCGUUCAUAUAGUCAGGGGCUGGUUAUGUAGAUUAAAACUUUUAACUCAGGAGGGCAGCUAUAAAAGGUUGAAACUCAUUAUUACUUGGAGAGAUAGGAGUCCAGAUUGUGAGGGAUGGAUAUUUCUUUUUCUGGAGUUUAUUGUUUCCCAGAGUUUCAAUAUUUCUCUCCUUUCUUCAGGGCUUAUUGUUCAGUAUAUACUGUGUGUCCUUUUAGGAAUAAUUAGCAAUGGAGGGAGGUUAAAGUCCAGAGCCUAACGUUCAGUAUUCCCCUCCUUCCUUUGGGGCCCAUUGUUAUCAGGGAAGGAUUUACUGGAAGGUUAAUACUUGGCUAGUUUCCUCUCCCCGCUCCCAAGCUUGCAGUACUUUGCAUGGUCCUUUUCCUUGCAGCUCUGGAACAUUGUCUCUGCUUUUCUUUUGGGGUUGUUUUGUAGGAUUAUUAUUUUCCAUAACUCUUCAGGAGCCACAAUUAAUUCAGCAUAGUUCUGUAAAAAUGGCUCACCUUACCUAAUGGAGAAUCAUUCUCAAAUAUGACAGUUCACCUUAGGCUUUGAUAGUCCUAUGAUUUUUCUAGUUUUAUCUUAAUACAAAGGAAAACAGAUUCUUG
rnacentral:lncRNA from 1 species